UUUAGGGUUUUAUAAAACUAUAUAAUAAAAAGAGGGAAUUUGUUUUUAUUUACAGGUGGACCUCAUAUGCUCAACCAAGGGAACUGAAUCAUGGGUUCAUAAGCUCAAGUGGGAUGGGCUACAAGCUUUUUUAAGUAUGGAAAGAACCCCUCUUUACUGUGGAAGUAACAAAGAUAGAACCAAAGGAUUCACCAAGUCUUACAAAAAUCUUCGCUUUUAUUGGAUUCUUGGAGCUGGCCACUUUGUGCCGGUAGACCAGCCCUGCGUAGCGUUAGAAAUGGUGGGAGCCUUCACACGGUCACCGGCUGCAAUUGCUCACAAGUAAACGAACAACACGUGGCAAAUAGUAGCUCAUUUAGAUUUACCAUUUAAAUAACAAAAUAGCAGUACAAAAAUAAUUGAGCUUCCAAUUUAUUUCUCCCUUUUUUUUCUUUUAAGGAACAAUUUGUUUCAUUUCUGCCUAUAUCAAUAUCUCAAUGAUAUUUCUACAAAUUGUUAUAAUAUUAUAAUAUUUUAC